CCUACGGGAGGCAGCAGUGGGGAAUAUUGCACAAUGGGCGCAAGCCUGAUGCAGCAACGCCGCGUGAGGAACGACGGCCUUCGGGUUGUAAACCUCUUUUAGUAGGGAAGAAGCGAAAGUGACGGUACCUGCAGAAAAAGCACCGGCUAACUACGUGCCAGCAGCCGCGGUAAUACGUAGGGUGCAAGCGUUAUCCGGAAUUAUUGGGCGUAAAGAGCUCGUAGGCGGUUUGUCACGUCUGCUGUGAAAACUGGAGGCUCAACCUCCAGCCUGCAGUGGGUACGGGCAGACUAGAGUGCGGUAGGGGAGAUUGGAAUUCCUGGUGUAGCGGUGGAAUGCGCAGAUAUCAGGAGGAACACCGAUGGCGAAGGCAGAUCUCUGGGCCGUAACUGACGCUGAGGAGCGAAAGCAUGGGGAGCGAACAGGAUUAGAUACCCUGGUAGUCCAUGCCGUAAACGUUGGGAACUAGAUGUAGGGACCAUUCCACGGUUUCUGUGUCGCAGCUAACGCAUUAAGUUCCCCGCCUGGGGAUACGGCCGCAAGGCUAAAACUCAAAGGAAUUGACGG
rnacentral:rRNA from 1 species